rnacentral:rRNA from 1 species
UACGGAAGGCAGCAGUGGGGAAUAUUGCACAAUGGGCGCAAGCCUGAUGCAGCCAUGCCGCGUGUAUGAAAAGGCCUUCGGGUUGUAAAGUACUUUCAGUCGUGAGGAAGGUGUUAAGGUUAAUAACCUUAGCAAUUGACGUUAGCGACAGAAGAAGCACCGGCUAACUCCGUGCCAGCAGCCGCGGUAAUACGGAGGGUGCGAGCGUUAAUCGGAAUUACUGGGCGUAAAGGGCACGCAGGCGGUUAAUUAAGUUGGAUGUGAAAUCCCCGGGCUUAACCUGGGAAUGGCAUUCAAGACUGGUUAGCUAGAGUCUUGUAGAGGGGGUAGAAUUCCAUGUGUAGCGGUGAAAUGCGUAGAGAUGUGGAGGAAUACCGGUGGCGAAGGCGGCCCCUGGACAAAGACUGACGCUCAUGUGCGAAAGCGUGGGGAGC